CGAAUGAUGCCGAUUUCACACGGUUGAUAUAAAAAUUAAAUAAGACACUAAACUGGAAAUUGGCUGUCAUAUAGAACAAGAUCAAUAAAUAAUGAUUGCUGUUAUUUUUUAAGCAAACAUAGUAAUUCUCACUCUCUAAAGCUUUAGUGAGACUUGAGUUAAUGUGGAAGAGGCUUUGCACAGACUAGGAACUCUGAAACUUCUAAUUUCUGCUUUCUCUUUCUUCCUGUGCUCAGUAAAGAAAAAGCCAUUUAAAUGGGUUGAUGAGAACACUCAUUGUGGAUAAUGUAUCCUAUUUGCAAAAUCAGAGUGAACUAGGUUAUUUCUUUCAGCCCAUGCUAGUAAUAAUGUCCAGCAGAGAAAAAAAUCUCACUGGAAAAUAGAACACACAGUGGAUGCAACUGCUAUGAAUCCCACUGACCUCAACUCGGCCAACUUUCCUCCCACUGAUGGUGGAUGCCAAGACACCAAGGUCUCUUCCUUACUUUUCACCGAGAUGCCUGUUAAACCAUUAGUACUCCUACAAGAAACGCUUCAGAAUAUUUCCAUUCCUAUUCCUGGUACCACUAUUUUCCCAACUGGUAUUGCCCUCACUUCUCUUCAUCCUGCUUGCCAGCAUCUCAACUGCCCUGUCCUCAAGUUGCACUGUCUCCAUCACUGAUGCUGUUGGUGAGUGCUCAGAUCCACUGGCUUUCUUUUAUCAUUUCUCUGUGCCCAUUUUAUCAGUUCUCUGUACCAGUUUGUGUUGUUUUGUUCCCAAUGGUUAUACCUGAGGUGUUCUUUGGAGAGCUUCCCUGUAUUGGAACUCUGUACUCUUGAUGCUUAGGAAUUUAUAUCACUCUAGGGUGGUCUAUAGCCAAUGAGUGACUAGUGCAGAAAUAUGAAAGCCCAGUCCCCUUGCCUUCAAACAAAACAAACUCUGAGAUGGGGUUUAUGCUCCAGAGCUCCUUGUGGGAUCAGGCUGAGGCUGGGACUUGCCCUGAAAGCUCAGUCUUGUUUAGUCUCUCCCCCUUCCCUUUGCUGCUUCCUUCACCCCCUUACUGGUUUCUCUUUAGAGUAGUGCCUUGGGAAAUUACUUCCCAUGGACUCUCAUCUCAAUGUCUGCUGCUAGACAGCUUGACUCAAGAGAGUCUCACUUGGGUGGCCACCUUUCCAUUCUCAAAGCUACCAUUUUAGUUCAUCACCAAUAGUGUAAGCACUUCUAAUCACCAUCUUGGCUUGUGACUCUUCCCAUUUAGCC
rnacentral:lncRNA from 1 species